GAUGAACGCUGGCGGCGUGCCUAAUACAUGCAAGUCGAGCGAACAGACGAGGAGCUUGCUCCUCUGACGUUAGCGGCGGACGGGUGAGUAACACGUGGAUAACCUACCUAUAAGACUGGGAUACCUUCGCGAAACCGGAGCUAAUACCGGAUAAUAUAUUGCACCGCAUGGUUCCAUAGUGAAAUACGGUUUUUCUGUCACUUAUAGCUUGAUCCACGCCGCAUUAGCUAGUUGGUAAGGUAACGGCUUACCAAGGCAACGAUGCGUAGCCGACCUGAGAGGGUGAGCGACAACACGGGAAGUGAGACAGGGACGAGACGCUGACGGGAGGCAGCAGUAGGGAAUCUUACGCAAUGGACGAAAGCGGGACGGAGCAAAACGGCGGGAGUGAUGAAGGAGUUCGGAUCGUAAAACUCUGUAAGUAGGGAAGAAGAAAAGUGUAAGUAACUAUGAACGUCUUGACGGUACCUAAAGAGAAAGCCACGGCUAACUACGUG
rnacentral:rRNA from 1 species